AACGAACGCUGGCGGCAUGCCUAACACAUGCAAGUCGAACGAGACCUUCGGGUCUAGUGGCGCACGGGUGCGUAACGCGUGGGAACCUGCCUUUAGGUUCGGAAUAACUCAGAGAAAUUUGAGCUAAUACCGGAUGAUGUCUUCGGACCAAAGAUUUAUCGCCUUUAGAUGGGCCCGCGUUGGAUUAGCUAGUUGGUGGGGUAAAGGCCUACCAAGGCGACGAUCCAUAGCUGGUCUGAGAGGAUGAUCAGCCACACUGGGACUGAGACACGGCCCAGACUCCUACGGGAGGCAGCAGUGGGAAUAUUGGACAAUGGGCGAAAGCCUGAUCCAGCAAUGCCGCGUGAGUGAUGAAGGCCUUAGGGUUGUAAAGCUCUUUUACCCGAGAUGAUAAUGACAGUAUCGGGAGAAUAAGCUCCGGCUAACUCCGUG
rnacentral:rRNA from 1 species